GUGAGAGGCCCGCAUACCGCAAAAAAAAAAAAAAGAUCCAGGCCUUGGGAAAGAACACAAAAGGCUUUGUUCGAGUGACCAGCUGGACGCCUGAGCGGGGUUCCAGGACUCGGUGUGACCGUGGUGGACGCAAGGCUGCCCUGACCUCCUUCUAGGGGUGGCUGAGGCCGCCCUGACCUCCUUCUAGGGGUGGCUGAGACUCUGCACCACCAGCCAGCUUGUCUCCCUGCCAUCUGCUUCCUCCCCUCCUUCCCCAGGAGCCUUCCCGAGGCCACUCCCUGAAACCGUGUCAGGCUCUGCUCCGCGAGCUGACCUGGACGCGUGCUGUGCUGCCCACCUGCCCAGUGACCAGCCUGCUUCCUUUGUAUGGUGUGCCUCGCUCCAGGACGGCCUUCAGAGGGUGUGUGAGCAGAGGAAGCCUCAGUUGUUCGGAUGCUCUUCUGACCCCUAGACAGCGCCUCGCCCAAAGCUGAACCUACUACAGGCACAGCCCAGAGACCACCUACAAGACCCUUUGCUGCCACCUGCUGGAGAACUCUCAGAAUGAAUAUCCACUUUUGCCACCAAUCGUUGGAGGCCGUGAAGCCAUAACUGAGAUGCGCUACAGUGGAAAUGAGAAGCACUCCUCUGAAUCAGGAAGGUGCCGGUGCCUCCUCAGAGCGGGUGUUCUCGCGGUCAGGGAGCCCGUAAGUCUCCCCGCUCCUGCUGCCUGGCCUGGACCAAUCGUGAAGAAAGAAAGAGUCGGACUGAGGAGGACCAGGCGGCGGUCGUGAAACGAGCACCCAGAUGUAGACCCCGCCACGCCCUGGUUCCCUGGCGGGCCGCAAAGGCUGUCCGAGGGUGGCAAGCGCCGCCGGCCCAGAGAGGGUCAGGGCAAACCCGUGUUUGCACCGUCUCUGUCCAGUGGCCAGGUCAGGCCAUCGGAGAAGCCCCUGUCCUCCCCAGGAUGGUGGGGGGAGGCGCAUUUCCCAGCCUCUGCCCUCCUUUUCACCUUGGCCGUGGUCGCUCAGGGUGUGGCUGCCCCUGGGGGGGGGGAGUGGGCGCUCAAGACCCCAACCCGUCAGCCCACUCCCCUCUUUGCAGGGCCCUUGUCCAGCACUCACGGCCCCGUGGUGCCCCCUGGGAACCCCCCGGCUCUGAAAUGUAUCAGGGUGGGACACGGGUGAAAGCAGCUGGGAUUCUGGCAGGUCUGCUCGCGGUCUGGCUUCCGUCAGGAGUCUCAGGGUGGCAACUGUGUCCCAUGCAGACGUUCCCACCUGCUACCCGUCCGUGCUCACUGGCUGGAGCGUCUCUGCAGAAAGAAACUCCUGUCUCCUACUGUUUGGUUACCCAGUGUCCCUGUCUGUGUAGCAAAAGCAGGAUAAAUGCUUGAUUCUUUUUUUUUUUUUUCAAUUUAAUAAUUCUCCAAAUCUUGGAUACUUAAGUCGCUUCCAAUUUUUCACAAUUAUUCCCUUCUUUCCUUUUUUUGCUAUUGAGGUAGAAUACACAUGCCGUAAAAGUUAUCACCUGAGCCAUUUCUUGAAGAGUACAGUUCAGUGGCAUUAGGUGCAUUCGUGACCAUAACCCUUCAUCUUGUAAACAGAAACAGUACCCAUGGAACCACAACUGUCCCCCUGCCCCCAGCCCUGGCACCACCCUUCUACUUUCUGUCUCUAUAAUUUUGACGACUCCAGGUGCCUCAUAUGAGUGGAACCCUGCAGUCUUGUCUUUUUGAGACUGGCUGACCUCACUGAGCAGUUUGUCGUCCAGUUUCAUCCAUGGUGGUAGCACAUGUCAUAACUGCCUUCCUCUUUAAGGCUGAAUAAUGUCCCAUCGUAUGUACAGACCACAGUUUGCUUAUUGACACAUCCAUCCGUGGACACUUGGGUUGCUCCCAUGUUUCAGCUAUUCUGAAUAAUGCUGCAUUGAACAUGGGUGUACAAAUAUCUAUUCGAGUCCUUGCUUUCAAUUGUUUUGUGUAUACACCUGGAAGUGGAAUUGCUGGAUCACGUGGUGAUUAUAUUUUUAACUUUUUGAGGACCCUCCAUACUGUUUCCGCAGCAGUUGUACCAUUUUACAUUCGCACCAACAGGGCACAAGGGUUCCAUUCCUCCACACCCUCACCAGCACUUGUUAUUUUCGGUUUUCUCAUAGUAGCCGUGCAGACGGAUGUGAGGAGGCAUCUCGCUGUAGUUUUGAUUUGCAUUUCGCUAACGAUUAGUGGUGUUGAGCACACUUUUGUGCACUUAGUGGCCAUUUGAAUGUCUUCUUUGGAGAAAUGUCUAUUCAAGUCCUUUGCCCAUUAUUGAAUUGGGUUGUUUGUUUUGUAGUUGUUGAGUUUUAGGAAUUCUCUAUAAAUUCUGAAUAAUAAUCAGGUAUAUGAUUUGCAAAUGUUUUCUCCCAUUCUGCGGGUUGCCUUUUUACUCUGAGGACAGUGUCUUUGGAUAAACAAAAUUUUCAAAUUUUC